GGAAAUAGGGUGAGGGGUCCUUACUUGUUUUCGAGAUCCGAAUACGAUUCACAGUGCGCCUGCAGGCCGUCCCUAAUUUUCCCUGAAUUUUUCCCGGGAAACUGAAACACACUAAGAGUACCUGCACGUGUUCCAAAAAAUCCAAAUUAGGCCCAGGGCCUCUUUCGGCCCAAAUCGCAACUCCGGCACGGCGGCGAGUCGCCUCGGGUUGGCUGUUUUCGGCCGUUUUCGGCCGAAUUCGGCCACGCUCGCAUUGGUCCUUGUCAGAAAACAACCCUAGGGCCCUCGGGGGGCCAAAAAAUCACGAAAAAACGGAGCUUACCGGCGGCGGCGCUCUCGGGUGCAGCGGCUCUCCGGCGAGGUUCGUGUUUUGGUGAUUCGGCUCCGGUCAACCUGUAGAGAAAAGAAUGGUGACCACGGUGAUAUAAAAAUUGCAUCGAACGGAGGCCGGGAAGGGCCUCGUCGGAGGCAAAAACCGAGAGGGGGCGCGGCGGCGCCGCUGGGCUUUGGCCGCGUAUUCCGGCCGUUUGGCCGGGAUUUCGGCCUCGAUUUGGCCAUAGGAGGAAUCAACGGGGAAAAACGAGUCGGGGGUAUGAAAUUUACCUCGAUCGGCGGUCGGAAAUUUCCCUGGUGCGGCGGCGAGUGGCGGCGGGUGGCGGCGGUCGGCCUCUGGUUCGUCUUCUCCGGCGAGCGGCUGGCGGCUAGGGUUUGUGGUC
rnacentral:lncRNA from 1 species